UUUUUUUUUUUUUUUUUUUUUUUUUUUUUUUGGUGCCUUGAACAGCACAGAGAUUUCUUACUUUAUCCACAGGAAAGGAGACUGGUGUUUUCGUAUUAUUGUGGAUAUAUAAUUAAUUGUAUCUAAUUUGUAUGUGUUUGUACAUAUUGAGAGAUUUACAGAGUAAUGUUAACACUGAAAUUUUGAAAUCUUUCACACUGAAAUCUUCAACAUAUUUCUUAAAAAUGUUUUAAACAUUUGAGUAAAAAGGUUAUUAAGCCUGUAACUACUAAAUUAUAAACUAAGGAUUCCCUUUAAAAGCAGAAGUCACACUGACAUGUUUAAAAUGUAAAGAGUAAUUUAAACUUAAAAAAUGUUCUGUUUUGAAAAUUUAUUCCAUGUAUCUUCCACAAUGAAGUGUGAACAAAUCUAGAUGCUUUUUGUUACUUAUUCAAAGAAAGCUAUAAAUAUUUAAUAUUAACUAGGCAUAAUUGGGUAGUGGGAAAUGUUGCUUGUAGUAAAUUGUGAUAGAUACUAUCAGUAGCAGGUAAUUUUGAAGUAUUUUACUACACUGUUAUAUGAAUCUAACAAAAUAAAAUCAUUAAAAAAUUUACUCUUAAAAUUAGUCAAUUUACUCUUUAAAAUUACUUGUUUAGUUUCAUAUAAUUAUAUUUCUGAACAUUAGAAAUGAAUGUUUUAAAAUAAUCUCCAUAGCAAAACAGAAAAGUAAUAGAAGUACAUUUAAAUUGGGGAUUUUAUAAUUUUAUGUAGUUGAACCGUUUUUCCUUGAACCUUCAAUAAACAAAAAAAUUGCAAUGAGUAGUAGUGUAGAAUAACUUUAGAAUAUAGUUUUCCCCUCUUCCAAAUGUCACUUUGUUUAAAAAUUAGUCAGGUUGUGUUUUAGACCUGUAAAAUAUUUUGAUAGAUUCUAUUACUUAAAAUUGUUUAAUUGCUUUUAUCACAGUCCUUCUUUAUUCUUUUGCUUCUUUUGUUCUUUUGCUUUUUGUGGUUCUGGCUAAGGUAAAAAAUAAUCCAAAAAUAUAUGGAAAUUACAGAAAGAGUAAUAAAUGUUAGAGUGUAUGCUGCUGAGGGGAGCCUGCUGGAAUCUCACUGUUUGACUCCAUGUGUCCAGGACGUUUGCACGCCCUGUGAGCCCCUGAGCCGCCUCACCUCAGCUGUUGUGUCUACUGUAAUAGUGUGGAUGAGCUUGUGAUCCGGUAAUCCCUUUGUUCUUUAAUGGCCCCAAGUGACAAAGCCAAAUGUUAGCCAGGAGUGCUUCCUUAAUGGCAAGAUGAACAUCCACAUUGGCUGUCUUGCUGGAAAUUGAUAGCUUCUACUGUUUCAGGCAUCCACUCUGGGUCUCAAAACUGUCUUCCCCACGAGAAGGUAGGAGUUCAAGUAAAAACCGUAAAUUUUAGUUACAUUUUAAACUCUACUUCAGAUCACAGCUGUGAGUAGCCAUCUUGCAGAAUGGAGAAAUUUUAGGGGUAAUUCAAGUGACCUUGUUUUUAUCUUGUGUUCUUGUGUUUCUGUUGUGGGAACUCAGAUUUGUAGCACGAAUAAAUGUUCUUUUGGUGAAAGUAACAGUCAUAAAAUUAAGUUUUUGUAUUUUAGUGGUAAAAAGCAGCCUCAUAACUUUUUGCUAGCUUUAAAAUGUUUUAAUAUUCAGGGGCAAGAUGAUAAGUCUGACAGCAAUAAAUACAUAGUGUUAAAAGAGACAGGAAACCUGAAUUUCAAAAUUGUUGGCAAGCAUUUAGAACUGGUAGUUUGGGAAAUGUAAAAUACUUUUUAAACAAAUAAUUUGGGAAUGUGGCAGAGAAAAGAUUUUGAAAUUAAAAUUUCCUGUAUUCUAGAUUUUAUAAUAUCAACAUUAAAUAUUUUUCUUGGUUCUUAAUAACAUUAAUAAAAGCAGCCCACUUAAAAAUCUUAAAAUGUUUUCAACUUACUUAUGUAUAAAAUGACAUGCAACCAUUUAUAUCUGCUUCAUCUGUAAGUGAAUAGCUGAUGUUCACACUGCUUAUGUUGGCUAGAAUAUACUUAGACCUUUCAGUACAUUUCAAGUUGAUAAGGGGCACUGAAUAAAUUUCUUGUAAAU
rnacentral:lncRNA from 1 species